AUGGCCAGAGUGAUUUAUACCAUUGAAUUUCAAAAGUGUAAUUUGCCUCAUGCACAUAUCCUACUUUUUCUUAAUAAUAAAUGUCCAAAUACCGCCGAUAUUGAUGACAUUAUUUCAGCUGAAUCGCCUGAUAAUUUAGUUGAUCCUCAAUAUUAUGCGGUUGUUACAAAUUUAAUGAUUCAUGGACCAUGUGGUACUGCAAGAAAAUCUUCUCCUUGCAUGCAAAAUGGCAAAUGUACAAAGUACUUUCCAAAAAAAUUUGUGGAUUCAACCACAAUUGAUGAUGAAGGGUAUCCUAUAUAUAGAAGAAGGGAUGAUGGAAGAUCUACAAAGAGAGCCGGUAUUGAUUUAGAUAAUAGGUAUGUUGUGCCACACAAUAGAUUCUGAUUAUUGAAAUAUGGUGCACAUAUUAAUGUGGAAUGGUGCAACCAAUCAAAGUCCAUUAAAUACUUAUUUAAGUAUGUUAAAAGGCUAUGAUCAUGUAACUACUGCUUUUUCUCAAAGUGAAAAUACUGAUGACUCAAGAGUUGUUGAUGAAAUAAAUAUGUAUUGUGAUUGUCGGUAUGUAUCGCCAUGUGAACCAGCUUGGAGAAUUUUUAAAUUCCCAAUCCAUCAUAGAGAACCAUCUGUAGAAAGGUUAUCCUUUCAUCUGGAUGGCAAUCAAAAUGUCAUAUUUUCAGAUGAUGAUCCGAUUGAUGCAGUAGUUAACAGACCAACCGUAAAGAAAUCAAUGUUUUUAAAGUGGUUUGAAGCAAAUACGGAAUUUCCUAAAGCAAGAGAGCUAACAUAUGCAGAAUUUCCUCUAAAGUUUAUGUGGAAUCAACAAUUGAAGAAAUGGGAAAAAAGACAAACUUCUGCAUUUUCUAUUGGCAGAAUUUUCUUUGUUCCUCCGGGAUCUGGAGAGCAAUAUUAUCUUAGAUUGUUGUUGAAUGUUAUCAAAGGUCCAACAUCCUAUGAGAAUCUUAGAAAAAUAAAUGAUCAAAAGCAAUCAAGAGAAAUCCUAUUGCAACAACCACCAUACCAUCUCCGGCCACCUUCACACCCUUUUUUCUCUCUUCCCCGCCGCACCACCAUCAAAUCGGCAAACCCUUCACCACCGGAACAACAGCAGCAACCAACGACAGCAGCAGCUGGCGGAUUUGUCAUCGCUGCUGCGUCUUCAACCAAACAAUCAUCGGAGUUUUGGCCUCCAAUUUGCAACCAGCCCCGCCCCCUCUCUUCUUCUACCGUCUCUCGUCGCUGCCUCGCCGGAGGUGGUGACCGACGAGGUUCAAACCUCCAACCGUACCACCCCUUCUCCUUUUCCCCGCGCCUCGCCGGAAUUGGUCGCCGGCGGGUGAGCCUUUAG